rnacentral:rRNA from 1 species
AGCGAACGUUAGCGGCGGGCCUAACACAUGCAAGUCGUACGAGAACGCUCCUUCGGGAGUUAUUAAAGUGGCGCACGGGUGAGGAACGCGUAGGUAAUCUACCCUCAGGCGGGGGACAACACUCCGAAAGGAAUGCUAAUACCGCGUAAGACCACACUUACUAAGGUGAGAGUGGUAAAAGAUGGCCUCUUCUUGAAAGCUAUCACCAGAGGAUGAGCCUGCGUCCCAUCAGCUUGUUGGUAAGGUAACGGCUUACCAAGGCGAAGACGGGUAGCUGGUCUGAGAGGAUGAUCAGCCACACUGGCACUGGAACACGGGCCAGACUCCUACGGGAGGCAGCAGUGAGGAAUAUUGGGCAAUGGGCGCAAGCCUGACCCAGCCAUGCCGCGUGUGUGAUGAAGGUCUUAGGAUCGUAAAGCACUUUCGCCAGGGAUGAUAAUGACAGUACCUGGUAAAGAAACCCCGGCUAACUCCGUG